GCCGGGGUGGCGGAACUGGCAGACGCGCAGGGCUUAGGACCCUGUGUCCGCAAGGACGUGGGGGUUCAAUUCCUCUCCCCGGCACCA
rnacentral:tRNA from 1 species